ACAGAGAGCUUGCUCUCGGGUGACGAGUGGCGGACGGGUGAGUAAUGUCUGGGAAACUGCCUGAUGGAGGGGGAUAACUACUGGAAACGGUAGCUAAUACCGCAUAACGUCGCAAGACCAAAGAGGGGGACCUUCGGGCCUCUUGCCAUCAGAUGUGCCCAGAUGGGAUUAGCUAGUAGGUGGGGUAACGGCUCACCUAGGCGACGAUCCCUAGCUGGUCUGAGAGGAUGACCAGCCACACUGGAACUGAGACACGGUCCUGACUCCUACGGGAGGCAGCAGUGGGGAAUAUUGCACAAUGGGCGCAAGCCUGAUGCAGCCAUGCCGCGUGUAUGAAGAAGGCCUUCGGGUUGUAAAGUACUUUCAGCGGGGAGGAAGGUGUUGUGGUUAAUAACCACAGCAAUUGACGUUACCCGCAGAAGAAGCACCGGCUAACUCCGUGCCAGCAGCCGCGGUAAUACGGAGGGUGCAAGCGUUAAUCGGAAUUACUGGGCGUAAAGCGCACGCAGGCGGUCUGUCAAGUCGGAUGUGAAAUCCCCGGGCUCAACCUGGGAACUGCAUUCGAAACUGG
rnacentral:rRNA from 1 species